rnacentral:rRNA from 1 species
CCUACGGGAGGCAGCAGUGGGGAAUUUUCCGCAAUGGGCGAAAGCCUGACGGAGCAAUGCCGCGUGGAGGAAGAAGGCCUACGGGUCGUCAACUUCUUUUCCUGGAGAAGAAACAAUGACGGUAUCUGGGGAAUAAGCAUCGGCUAACUCUGUGCCAGCAGCCGCGGUAAUA